UGCAAUCAUACGGACAGCCCAACCUACAU
rnacentral:piRNA from 1 species